rnacentral:rRNA from 1 species
AGUGAACGCUGGCGGUAGGCCUAACACAUGCAAGUCGAACGGCAGCACAGUAAGAGCUUGCUCUUACGGGUGGCGAGUGGCGGACGGGUGAGGAAUACAUCGGAAUCUACUUUUUCGUGGGGGAUAACGUAGGGAAACUUACGCUAAUACCGCAUACGACCUACGGGUGAAAGCAGGGGAUCUUCGGACCUUGCGCGAUUGAAUGAGCCGGUGUCGGAUUAGCUAGUUGGCGGGGUAAAGGCCCACCAAGGCGACGAUCCGUAGCUGGUCUGAGAGGAUGAUCAGCCACACUGGAACUGAGACACGGUCCAGACUCCUACGGGAGGCAGCAGUGGGGAAUAUUGGACAAUGGGCGCAAGCCUGAUCCAGCCAUACCGCGUGGGUGAAGAAGGCCUUCGGGUUGUAAAGCCCUUUUGUUGGGAAAGAAAAGCAGCAGGUUAAUACCCCGCUGUUCUGACGGUGCCCAAAGAAUAAGCACCGGCUAACUUCGUG